GACAGAGGUGGCAAGCGUUGUUCGGAUUUACUGGGCGUAAAGAGCGCGUAGGCGGUUACUUAAGUCGGAUGUGAAAGCCCUUGGCUCAACCGAGGAAGUGCACCCGAAACUGAGUAGCUUGAGUACGAAAGAGGGUCGCGGAAUUCCCGGUGUAGAGGUGAAAUUCGUAGAUAUCGGGAGGAACACCGGUGGCGAAGGCGGCGACCUGGGUCGAUACUGACGCUGAGGCGCGAAAGCGUGGGUAGCAAACAGG
rnacentral:rRNA from 1 species